AUGGGGACAUUCAUCUGUUACUAUGGAGACAAGCAGAGUCAGCAUUCACUCCUGUCCCAUUGGUGCACAGUGACAUUUCUGAGUCUCUAUGGUAACAGUGGAGUUUCUGGCACAUCUGACCUUCUCCAGGGUGAAAGAGCAGCCCUUGAGCACAGAGAUGCAAGAGCUGAGAUGCACAGAUUAUUUCAGCAGAACUUGUGCUAUCAUUAUGGUUUUCCUAAUCUACUCAGGAUCUCGAAGCAGUUGCAGAGAAUUACUAAAAGGCAGAAAAUGUCUCAGAUAUUAACAAGUAUGCAAAGAACAAGAUUGCAACUGCGUGUGCCCAGCAUUCUGAAGACUGAAAUAGGUGAUGGAAGCUCCAGUAUCUGCAGAACACAACUGAAAGUCAUUUAAAGAAGAAAAAUGUAAAAGCAGAAGAGUUACAACUUGCCUCUAAAUCAAAGCCAUGAGGACUCUCUUCUAGAUACUGUUGAUAUAAUAUUUGCCAUUUUUCCUUUGAACCUGCCCAGCUCCUAAUAUAAUUUAUUUAAAUUAGGAAAAGCUUUUCUUUCUUACAUUCUUCAUGUUGUUCCAUACCAUCAGCUCUCUUCCAUGCUGCCAACUAUUAGGGUAGCCCAUCACUGAUUUACUGAGGAAUAAAUGGGCAUGUCCUGUACUCGGGAUUAAAAAU
rnacentral:lncRNA from 1 species